CCCUUAGAUGUUCUGGGCCGCACGCGCGCUACACUGACGACGUCAACGAGUCGGCUCCUGGGCCGAAGGGUCUGGGGAAUCUGAAGGAAACGUCGUCGUGCUGGGGAUAGACCAUUGAAAUUGUUGGUCUUCAACGAGGAAUACCUAGUAAGCGCGAUUCAUCAGAUCGCGUUGAUUACGUCCCUGCCCUUUGUACACACCGCCCGUCGCUCCUACCGAUUGGAUGUCAAGGUGAAAUCUUUGGGGAGAGGAGGGGGUGGGGCAACCCACUGGUCUUCUUUCGAAAUUGGGUAAACCUUGACAUCUAGAGGAAGGAGAAGUCGUAACA
rnacentral:rRNA from 1 species